GUACAAAUUUUGAGCUUGCUAUUCUCGUGGUUAGUUCUGGGUAAUUUCUUUCUAUCUUCCUUAAAUGAAGCCAGACCCCUACGUUGAAAACAUACUUUAAAUAAAUGUUCUUGUUAUUGAGAGAAAAGAUUUCUGCUCCAGGGGAGGAAUAUGUCAGUUGUCUGAGUUACGGGACUUGGGUUGGGUCAUGAACAUGAGAAAGUUCAUUGGCUGAGUUUCUAAUAGCUCGCAUAGUGCCUUCAACUUCAUAGGUACUUACACAGGCUAUUGAACUGAAUUUUGAGUGGAAAGUGGGGUAAGAGGUGGGAAUGAACAAUAUGGUUUGGAAGAACCAGAGGAUGGAAGGCAUUAAGUUGGCUAAGGCACUUACUUAUUUUAGAGAUAAAGCUACCAAGGACUUGGGAGUGACAUGCUGUAAAGGAGUUUUAGGAUGAAUCUUGCAUCAGUGCAGAUUAUAAAAGGGAAAGAGUGGCAGAAAGCCAGGAAGUGGAUUAUUAAGAACCAAUGAUGGAAUAAGUACAGGGAAAGAGAAAGGAAAGAUGGAUUUAGCCAACUGAAUCUAGGCUGCACACUAUUAAAGCUCAGGGUGGAGGCCAGUCUUGGCUCAUGAACUUCUGAGUGUCGGAAGUGUGCUAUAUCAAUGGCAGGAUUUUCGCUAACACCAGUAGAGCUUGCCUCUAUGACUGGAGUUUGGUAGUACUCGCUGCCACAUAGAGUAAACUUGAGAAGAAUGUUUGCACA
rnacentral:lncRNA from 1 species